UCUCGCUGUGCGCUUCGUCUCACUCCCUGCCAUCUGUGCGCCACCUGCAGUCGCUCGCGGGUGGGUGACGGCCGCGGGAAACAAGCCCGAAAUGAGAUGGGGAAGUUCGCUUCUCUCUCAAGCCUGGCUGCUGUUUCGCCCCCGGGAAUUGGGGGAACAGGUUCCCAGGGUGCUUCUAUUUUCCUGCUCUCCUCGGCGGCUUCCGUCUUCAGCCUUCCGGUCUGUGGCCUAGACAGAAACAGGAAGCAGAGAGGUGGGAAAAUGAAAUAAAGAGGGCAGGGGCUGAGGCAGAGCUGAGCCGUAAAGCACAAGGCCUUGGGUUCCAUCACCAGCAACUCUCUUCCCGCUGCCACAGAAAAGACUUCGUUUGAACGUGUGAUCCUUCUGCCUCAGCCUUCGGAGUAGCUCUGAUUACAGGCAAAUACCACUGCGCCAUUCACUACCAGACCCCAUCAGUUGUGGAGAAGGAAGAGCGCCGUGGGCUGGAGCAAUGGCAGGCAGCCGAGGAAAGACCAGACACCUGUCCAUUCUAAACUCUCCUCACAAAAACAAUCUUGCCAGGUCGGUAUCAUAAUCCCUUUACCCAGAGUAAAACAGGGAGGUCCAGUGACUUGCCCGAUGCCACCCUAAGUGCCAUCCCAAGAUUCCUGAUAAACACUUCCAUGCAGCCUUUGUCGCCCUGGAGAUCAGGGCGCGCCCGUGAUCCGGCCCGGGGUCCUUGGCUCCGGUAGGUGACCACGCUAGCCGGGCCCGCAGAGGGUGGCAGCGCCUCACUCCCAACUCCUCCCCUCUCCCCGCCUCCGGGGGCGGUGCGGCAAAGCGCGGGAAAGCUCAACCUCGGUCCGCCCGCAGGCGCCGGGGGCGGGAGGGGGCGCUCCAAGGGGACGCUCGGGUCCCCGCCGCGCCGGAGGCCCAGCCCCACGCUACCUGCGGUCGGGCCCGGCUGCCCAGCCCCGCCGGCUCUCCCGGAGUCACCUCUGCCCCACUUCCGGUCCGCAAGCCAGGCCCAGCCCCGGGCCCCAGGCCCGUCCAUGUCCCAAAUCCUGUACCAGUCCGAGCUCCCCACAGAGGGAGGAGCCGCAGGUGACGCCCGGCCACACGUCAGAGGCGGUGGGCAGUGGUCAGCAGAUGACGUCAUGCCUGGAGCGUCGGCCCACGCUGCGACAUCUGUGCGGCCACGCUGACGUGGGGCUCGGUCUCCGAGAAAACAGCGCGGCCAGAUCCAGAGUUCUAUGUUCCCUCGCAGUCGGCGCGGUUCUCCUCCAAGCACCCACCGCACCGAAGCUCAGAGUUCUUUAAAUUUGCCUAAGUGAACUGCAGCCUGCAGCCUCGGGCAGCCAAUAGGGCGGAGGGGGCGGAGUCACACCUGGGAGAGUUACCCUGCGGCCCGAGAAGGGGGAAUCAGGCUGGCUUCUUUCGAAGAGCGACAGUAGCGGCGGCCAAUCGCUCUUGAGAGGCGCAGACGGGGCAUGUGGACUUCGGAGCGGCCAAUGGGGAGAGGCUUCUUCAGGGGGCCUAGGCUCCUCGCCCAAUGAGGAUGAGCGGAAUCCACGGGGCUAGUUCCGAGCGACAGUACUUAAGACCAACCCAGCGCGAGGUGGGGCGGGGCGCAUACCUGAACGACGGGGGAACUGACCAAUGGCGAGUAUGGAAGCGGGCAGCUCAGGCCAGGGGCGCGGAGGGAGCGCAGGGAGGAGGGAGGAGGGAGGCCGAACCGUAGAGAAGCAGGAAGUAGCGGCGGCCCCGGGGAGGGCGGCGGCGGCUGCUGCUGGAGCUGGGUAGAGACGGCUGCGUCUCGGCCCGCACUAAAACGGAGCAAGUCUGGGACCUGCCGCUAUGGGGGACAUGAAGACCCCUGAUUUUGAUGACCUCCUUGCUGCCUUUGACAUCCCUGACAUCGAUGCAAAUGAAGCUAUACACUCUGGGCCAGAAGAAAGUGAGGGGCCCGGAGGCCCGGAAGCCAGAGCCCAGUGUGGGAGGAGAAACUGAAGGCACAGCAGCAGCAGCUGAGGAUGACCCCGAGGUUCCAGGUGCCAUACCUCUGAGCACGGCCUGCAGUGCCAGACACUUCCACAGUCAGCGUCAUCGUGAAGAACACUGUGUGUCCGGAGCAGUCUGAGACCCUGGCUGGGGGUGCAGGAAGGGGAAGGGCCCAGGCUGGGGGAGUAACCAAGGAAGAUGCUUCAGGGGCUUCUCUGAUGCGAGGAUGGAUUUGGGGUCUGUGAACCAUCCCUUCCAGGAGCCCCACCCUCCCCAGCUCCUUCCAGUGAGGGUACCUGGAAGGAAAAAGCUGUGGAAGGCAAAGCCCCCUUGGACCUCUUUGCUCAUUUUGGUCCUGAGCCAGGGAGCACCCAGACCCCCUGCCUCCUCCUGCGCCCUCCCCCACCUCCUGACGGGGCCAUGAGCCCUCCUCCUUUCCCCUCACCCCUUUGAGCUGGCCCAGGAGAAUGGCCCCACGCUGUUGCCACCUAGCUCUUCCCCACAGUCUGGGGCCCUUGAAGCAGGGGCUGCUGCAGCCCACUUCAUCCCCAGGGCCAAGGCCAGCGAGGCUCAGGCUCUAGUCCUGAGGCCACAGGCAUCCCUGAAGGAACCUCGCCUCCCCAGGUUGAUGGGGUGCCCUUUUUUCAAGCAGUCCCCAGGGCACCAGAGCCCUCCUGCCUCUCCUGACGUGCCCAGCUCUAAGCACCUGAAGGAAGAUGAGGGGCUGGUGGUCAAGUCUCCCCCCUCGAAGUCCCCAGAGUCCCUCUAGUGGUGCCGAGGCUGCAGAUGAGGACAGCAACGACUCCCUGCCUCCUCCAACUCCUCUCGGCCCCUCAAGGUGCGGAUCAAGACCAUUAAGACAUCCUGUGGGAAUAUCACGAGGACUGUAACCCGGGUCCCCUCAGACCCUGACCGCCCUGCCCCUUGGCCGAGGGGGGCCUUCCUGGCCGAGGCUGAGCCUCCUGAAGCUGUCCCCUGCGGCUCCAGCCCCCGAGGCCCCGAAGGUGGUGAGUGUGCAGCUGGGCGACGGCACAAGGCUGAAAGGCACAGUGCUGCCCGUGGCCACCAUCCAGAACGCCAGCACUGCCAUGCUGAUGGCAGCUAGUGCUGGCCCGAAAGGCUGUGGUUCUGCCUGGGGGCUCUGCCACCAGCCCGAAGAUGAUGGCUAAGAACGUUCUAGGCCUGGUGCCCCAAACCCUGCCCAAAGCUGAAGGGCGUAAGGGGCUGGGGACCGGGGGUCAGAAGGUGAACAGGGCCUCAGUGGUGAUGGUGCAGCCGCC
rnacentral:lncRNA from 1 species